rnacentral:rRNA from 1 species
GAUGAACGCUAGCGGCAGGCUUAAUACAUGCAAGUCGAGGGGUAGCAAGAUUGUAGCAAUACAAUUGUUGACGACCGGCAAACGGGUGCGGAACACGUACACAACCUUCCUACAAGUGGGGAAUAGCCCAGAGAAAUUUGGAUUAAUACCCCGUAACAUAGCGAUGUGGCAUCACAUUGCUAUUAUAGCUUCGGCGCUUGUUGAUGGGUGUGCGGCUGAUUAGAUAGUUGGCGGGGUAACGGCCCACUAAGUCUACGAUCAGUAGCUGAUGUGAGAGCAUGAUCAGCCACAAGGGCACUGAGACACGGACCCGACUCCUACGGGAGGCAGCAGUAAGGAAUAUUGGACAAUGGACGCAAGUCUGAUCCAGCCAUGCCGCGUGAAGGAUUAAGGUCCUCUGGAUUGUAAACUUCUUUUAUAAGGGACGAAAAAAGGUCUUUCUAGAUCGUCUGACGGUACCUUAUGAAUAAGCACCGGCUAACUCCGUGCCAGCCGCCGCGGUAAGAC